rnacentral:rRNA from 1 species
UACGUAGGGUGCGAGCGUUAAUCGGAAUUACUGGGCGUAAAGCGUGCGCAGGCGGUCUGUUAAGACAGAUGUGAAAUCCCCGGGCUCAACCUGGGAACUGCAUUUGUGACUGCAUCGCUGGAGUACGGCAGAGGGGGAUGGAAUUCCGCGUGUAGCAGUGAAAUGCGUAGAGAUGUGGAGGAACACCGAUGGCGAAGGCAGCCUCCUGGGCCAGCACUGACGCUCAUGCACGAAAGCGUGGGGAGCAAACAGG